rnacentral:rRNA from 1 species
AUGAAUUCGAGGCCGAUCGUGCUCGUCUUCCUCCUGCUCGUGCUCAUCAUAUCAUCGCAGUUCGAGUGGAAGCAGCAGAUCGGUGAGGCCGAGGCGAGCCCGGAAGCUACACGGCGGAGGCAGCAACCGCAGAUCGUAAGGGAAGAUGCCGUUAAAGAGAAAAUAAUACUGGCGCAGGAGAAGAACAUCCAGCAGCUCACCGAGCUCAUCCAGAGCCUCCAGGUGCAGCUACUGCAUUGCCGUGGCAGCAACAGCACUGCUCAUGGCGCCUCCUCGAAUCAGUCUUCAGCCAGUUACUCCGAAGCGGACAGACAUCAGAUAAUCGAUGACUGA